AACACGUAUGAGAGUAACUGUUCAUACGUUGACGGUAUUUAACCAGAAAGUCACGGCUAACUACGUGCCAGCAGCCGCGGUAAUACGUAGGUGGCAAGCGUUAUCCGGAUUUAUUGGGCGUAAAGAGAGUGCAGGCGGUUUUCUAAGUCUGAUGUGAAAGCCUUCGGCUUAACCGGAGAAGUGCAUCGGAAACUGGAUAACUUGAGUGCAGAAGAGGGUAGUGGAACGUCCAUGUGUAGCGGUGGAAUGCGUAGAUAUAUGGAAGAACACCAGUGGCGAAGGCGGCUACCUGGUCUGCAACUGACGCUGAGACUCGAAAGCAUGGGUAGCGAACAGGAUUAGAUACCCUGGUAG
rnacentral:rRNA from 1 species